CUCCGAAGUUCCCUGCCGCCUUUAUGCUCCUACAGCCGCGCUACCGCCUUCCGGAACCGACGGCGGCGACGCUUCUCGUCUUCUGCGGAGAGAGAGAAAAGCAAAGGAAAAGCAAGGAGAUUGACCAGAGGCACCGAACGAGACAUCUAGACACGGGUCCUGGCACGAGCUGAAGACGUCAUGGAGAAGCACAGCCUGGCAGCCUACGUAUAGCUUACCCUUCCUUACCUCUUAGCCCAUCGAUUAAUAAAGUUGUUUCUCACUCUAUUAUUAUUACUAUUAUUAU